CAUUUCUUCAACUUUCUCAGCCAAAAACGCCGUAGCAGGUCUCCUAUGCUGGUUUUUCAUAUUUUUGCACCAUUUUUGACAAGCCAGCUCAGAAAUCGGGAACGGUCGGAGGCCCACUCACACUAUCCGUAUACCAUCUUGGCAUAAUGGCUUGUAUGUUUUGAGUAUGGCAUGUAUAGCAUUAUAAUCAUUUUGUAUAUAUGGUCUUAUGAUAUGGAUAUUGAGUGGUAUGGAAAUGCUUGAUAAUGAUUAGCCAUUGGAAUGGCUAAUCAUGAUCAUAUUUGGUGUUAUGUAUGCUAAAUUGUUAGCUAAUCCAUGGAAACCAUGAAAUAGGCAAAAUUUACCAUAAAA